GACGAACGCUGGCGGCGUGCCUAAUACAUGCCAGUAGAACGCUGAAGGAGGAGCUUGCUUCUCCGGAUGAGUUGCGAACGGGUGAGUAACGCGUAGGUAACCUGCCUGGUAGCGGGGGAUAACUAUUGGAAACGAUAGCUAAUACCGCAUAAGAGUAGAUGUCGCAUGACAUUUGCUUAAAAGGUGCAACUGCACCACUACCAGAUGGACCUGCGUUGUAUUAGCUAGUUGGUGAGGUAACGGCUCACCAAGGCAACGAUACAUAGCCGACCUGAGAGGGUGAUCGGCCACACUGGGACUGAGACACGGCCCAGACUCCUACGGGAGGCAGCAGGAGGGAAUCUUCGGCAAUGGACGGAAGUCUGACCGAGCAACGCCGCGUGAGGGAAGAAGGGUUUCGGAUCGUAAAGCUCGGUUGUAAGAGAAGAACGAGUGUGAGAGUGGAAAGUUCACACUGUGACGGUAUCUUACCAGAAAGGGACGGCUAACUACGUG
rnacentral:rRNA from 1 species